AUUGAACGCUGGCGGCAUGCCUUACAGAGAAAAGUCGCACGGCAGCACGGGAGCAAUCCUGGAGACGAGUGGCGACCGGGUGAGCAAAGUAUCGGAACGUGCCCAGUCGUGGGGGAUAACGUAGCGAAAGUUACGCUAAUACCGCAUACGAUCUAUGGAUGAAAGCGGGGGAUCGCAAGACCUCGCGCGAUUGGAGCGGCCGAUAUCAGAUUAGGUAGUUGGUGGGGUAAAGGCUCACCAAGCCGACGAUCUGUAGCUGGUCUGAGAGGACGACCAGCCACACUGGGACUGAGACACGGCCCAGACUCCUACGGGAGGCAGCAGUGGGGAAUUUUGGACAAUGGGCGAUAGCCUGAUCCAGCCAUGCCGCGUGCAGGAUGAAGGCCUUCGGGUUGUAAACUGCUUUUGUACGGAACGAAAAGGUUUGGGCUAAUAAGCUGAGCUCAUGACGGUACCGUAAGAAUAAGCACCGGCUAACUACGUGCCAGCCGCCGCUGUAA
rnacentral:rRNA from 1 species